AAAUUGAAGAGUUUGAUCAUGGCUCAGAUUGAACGCUGGCGGCAGGCCUAACACAUGCAAGUCGAACGGUAACAAGAAGCAGCUUGCUGCUUUGCUGACGAGUGGCGGACGGGUGAGUAAUGUCUGGGAAACUGCCUGAUGGAGGGGGAUAACUACUGGAAACGGUGGCUAAUACCGCAUAACGUCGCAAGACCAAAGAGGGGGACCUUCGGGCCUCUUGCCAUCAGAUGUGCCCAGAUGGGAUUAGCU
rnacentral:rRNA from 1 species